rnacentral:misc_RNA from 1 species
AUUUUAUGAGGACCUAGUGAUCGUCAUACAGCAAUUCUGCUGAUACUUCUAGUAUUGGAUUGGUUUCAUCCGAAUUUGAAUAAAAAUGAAUGUGCAGUUGCAUUUAAAAUUCAUUAAUUGAUAUCAAUAAAUUUGGUUUAAGGUUACUAAACCAUUUCUGAAGGAAAGGCGAAGAUUUUACGGAAGUUGGUUUUGCAAGACAUUCGUCAAUGCAAGGUACCUCACCAUUCAUUCGAACUUGAUGUUGCUGGUACAAGUCGCAGCUCAAUAUCAUGUCUCUGUUAAGUGGAUCCUUUAAGAAUCAACUUAUCCAAAAUUCGUCACGGUCAUCAAGUGGUUUAAUUUAUCCUCUCUGGCUUUGCAACAUGCCCACAAUAUUGAAAACUCAAAAUAACCUUUAACGAACAUGGUAAAUAUCCUAUUUUACAUUAAAAUAUUGGUGACUAUGAAAGUUUAAAAAAAAUCGAGAAAAAUAUUCUGGUGUUGAUACAGAUGCUAGAGUAGU